rnacentral:rRNA from 1 species
ACCUACGGGGCGCAGCAGUGAGGAAUAUUGGUCAAUGGGAGGGAGCCUGAACCAGCCAAGUCGCGUGAGGGAGGAAGGUACAGAGUAUCGUAAACCUCUUUUGUCAGGGAACAAAGACUGGGACGCGUCCCCGGAUGAGUGUACCUGAAGAAAAAGCAUCGGCUAACUCCGUGCCAGCAGCCGCGGUAAUACGGAGGAUGCGAGCGUUAUCCGGAUUUAUUGGGUUUAAAGGGUGCGCAGGCGGUCUGAUAAGUCAGCGGUCAAAGCCCGGGGCUCAACCCCGGCCCGCCGUUGAAACAGGCAGU